CGGUGCGCGGGCGGCGGCGGGAGGCGCCGUUGUAUGUAGGAGCGGCUGGGAGCCGUGCCUGUAUCUGCACCAGGAUGGCCGAGUGGUUAAGGCGUUGGACUUAAGAUCCAAUGGACGUAUGUCCGCGUGGGUUCGAACCCCACUCCUGUUCCAAGUCCCUUAAAUAAUUUGAAGGCCGAAUCGCAACCUAUCAUAAUGUGUUUAUAACAUGAUCCUGAAGUGUAUCUGCAGUGUGAGAAGUACAAAUCGAGCACAGCCUGACACAUUUUAAAAUAUCAGUGUUUUCCAGAGCAUCCUCACCAAAUUCUCGUAAAGGAGAGGAAUUUACUUUCAAGAUUUCUUCAUUUUCCUUGAUUGCUGCUUCUCCUUCACCAUCUGCCUGACUGUGACCCUCUUUCUGAGAUGGAAGUGCUACAGGCUCUUUCCUUCAGACCUCAUCUGCUUCAUUUCUAAGUGUUAGCUAAAGUGGUUCAUAGAGUUCUUGGAAAGAGAUUACUCCCUGAGUGUGUGACUUCAGUGGAUUUCUAGUCCUUGUCUCUUGCCAUUUCAUUAUUUUUUUGCAAAGUUCCAUGUGCAUCGUGAAAAGUAUACAUUGCAUUAGUGAGUUCUGUUUUCCAGCUAAUACCUGCUUAAUGGUUGACCUGCAUGUAUAUUUUAGCUUCACCUAUCUCAUAUCUCUGUUGUUAUUUACCUUCAUGCUCCCACAUCUUGCUUUUUAUGUGCAUAUCAAGAAACACAGCUGCUGCAGAAAGCUGCGAAGGUACUGUCUGUCCCCUGCCCUGGCUGUACAUUCCCACUGCUUUCCUCAUGUGUUCCUCAUUCAUGAAUUGUAAAGAAAUAUGUAACAAACAAACCAAAUAAUUUCCCAUUACUUGGAUCUAAAAUUAAUCUCUGAGAUUGCUUCCAGUUCCUCAUCUCUUCACAGAAAAGUUCUGUUCCUGUGAUGAGAUAAUUUCUUAUGUGUUCUGGGGUCUCUAACAUGCACCAUAUAGAUCAGUUAACUGUUUUGGUACAUCAUAGAAUCACAAAAUUGUUGGCACUGGAAGGGACCUCUGGAGAUCAUUUGGUCUAACCUCCUGCUCAAGCAGGAUCACUUAGAGUAGGUUGCUCAAGGCUGAGUCUGUUGGGAUUUGAGUAUUUCCAAGGAUGGAGACUCCACAACCUCUCAAGGCAGCUGGUCCAGUUGUUCAACCACCCUUAAAGAAAAAGUAAAAAAACAGUAAAAACGUAACACAGUAACAAAACUUCUUUCUUAUGACUAAAAGAUUUUUACUUAUAUUUAGUAUUUUUCCUUAUGUUUAAGCUUAUCUCAAGCUUACAGAUCCUGGAUAGAUCUGCUUGUAAACCUCAAAUGAUUAUAUAUUUUCUCUAUGCUUAGAUUUUUGUUCCUAAACAUACUGAGAUGAAAGAACUACAUGUCACCACACAUGCCAGGACACCCACCGGAUACGUGGAUUUGCUGCCAUGUACAUUUUACUGACAUCAAUAUUGAGAGCUAAACAAAAUUUGUGCAAAGAUCUAAACAGAUGCUUAGUUUUAGAUACUGUAAUUUUUGUCUUCAUAAAGGCGAAGAAAAUGCAAUAUUUUUUAAUAAAUAUGUGUAGUUAUUUUCCUAUAAGAAAUGGGCACCUGUGUCUGGCCUGAGCUUAUUGAAAGCCAAAGUCCUGUUAGAGCAUUGAUUAUUGGAAGACCAUUCCUCUACAAGGCUAGCCCUCUGUAAUUUGUUAAGAGACUUCCUUUAAAAUGGUACCUGGGAGCUGUAGCAUUAACAAAUGAUAUUUGUCCGCUGAGUUGAGAGAAAGUAAGGUGACUGAUUGCUCUCAUCUUCAUCCAGUGCUAUUUUCUGUUAACCCAAUAGCUACAGGUAAAAAUCUUUUACUUCUGUGUUUACAUAGAUGUUAAUGGUCUCUCUUCUGAACAGCGUUUGCUUACUGGCAGUGACUAAUUAUUCCUUGCCCUACAUCUGUGGCUCCCUGUGAAUGAGGAAUCGUGAAGAACCAACAUAGUUCAGAAAUUCAAUUUAUUCAGUGUUUUCCAAAUCCUGUUGUUAUUAUCUUCAGCACACGAAUAAUUGAUUUAUGUAAUUAAUGUGACUGCUAUCAUCUUUUAGAUUAUUUGUGUUUAUUUUGCAGAAUGCUUUUCUUCGCUAUGAGGAUAGCUAAUUUCUCUGGUAACUUGGCUAUAUGUAGCUUCAAUUUUUAUUUAGUUAGCCUAGUAGCCAAGGUUUUGACAAUCUGUGUUUUGACAGAACUAUGACAGUGCAGAAUGCAUCUAUGCCAGGUAACAAAUCCUAUAGUACUCUGUGGCUGAAAACAAACUGAGACAUGCCCAACCUGUUGUACUGCAUUCAUUCAUCUGACCUGCCCCAAAAUGUAUUUGACACAUCAGUAAAGAAGAGAUACUGAAAGAAACUGGAUCCAGUUGCUCUGAAAUUUCUACCUGCCGAGCCCCCCAAGCAAAAUAUUUUUUAUACAAAAAAGAACAUUAGGUAGGUUCCUUCCAACCUCAACCAUUCUGUGGUUCUGUGAUAGGGCAAGAAUUUUAUGGUAUGAAUCUGUGGACCAAAGAAAUUAAGAGGAGAACGUUGAUGCUUCCCAAUAUAUAGGAUAGAGAAACGUCAUGUAUGAAAUAAAAGUUUCUGCACUUUAUAAAGUUGUUAAGGGGAGAGCUCAGUCAUUAACACAUAAAGAAGGACUUGUAUGACAAAGAAGGUAGGAUGACUGUAUUCAGUUGAAAUAUAAAUAAAGCUUAGAGUGUUAGGAAAUAGAUAGGAAUGGGGUGGGAUUGAGCAUCUCAGAACUGUAAUUAAAAUGCUCUGAAAGCAGUUCUUAUGUGGUUAGAAGUUCUUUUUCUGUGCCUUUUUUAUUUGCUUUCUUUGGUGUGUUGUCUCAAAGAAGGGAUUGAGUAGCAUUUCCAAGAGCUCAUAUUAUACAUUGGGCUCUGCAGAGAAUGUAUCAGGAGAUCUUAAGGUGGAGGGUGGCAACCACAUUCUCCACAAAGAGCAUCUUAGAAACAGUGAGUAACAUUCAUCUGGAAUUACCUGUUUCGGUCAUAUGUGGGACUAAGCAGCUGUGCCCUUGACAGACUGUUGUCUUGAUAACCAGAAAUGGGCCUAGAAUGUAAUGUAAACAACCUCAGAAUGUGGCUUUUUAACCGAAAUUACUAGACUAAGGUAGUCUUAACUGUCAUGCUGGGGGGUGUGUAUGCCUUAGAGUGUAUGUUGUUUCCCUUUCUGUUACUGCUUUACGGUAGUGGUAUUACUAUUUCCCAGAUGCUUACUAUAUUCUGGUAUAAUUAAAGCAGUUAAAACCGCUUUUAUGGACUGAGCUGAUACCUCUGGAGGGAGACAUUGGGAGCUGAGCUGACUGUAAACCUGUGCAUUUUGAAGCAUCUUUCUGUAUCAGCAUCCCUGACCACUACUGUAUUAACAUUUACAGUGACCUGCUCUGGUAUACACCGCUCAUUACUUUGGUAAUUACUUUGUAAAAGUUCUGGUGACAAACAGCAGGCAAUGAUGUCCUGACAGUUUAAAAUGAACAGUGUCUCUUACAGACACUUCAGUAGACCAUAAUCCAGUCUAUUGGUUUGUUGAUCUCAUUUCUUCUUGGAGACCUGCAACUACCUACAAAAGAGGAAUUGAGAGAGUUACAAAAAAAGAUAGUAUUUUUCCAGCUUAUUUUGCUAUAGCUAAUUAUGUAUGUUCAAAUAAAAAAAGUAGGAGAGAAAAGCAUGGAAUUUGAAAACUGGCAUGUCUUCUAUGUAAAAAUCUAAGUAAACUCAGUGUAACUCGGUUCGCUCUUAAAAAGAUAGCUGAUUUCCCUUAGCAAGAUAGCAAUAUGGAAUGUACUUUUGAGGAUACCUGUAAUUAGCUCUUCUGCUGUCGCCAAUGUUUAUGGAAAUAAAUUCCCACAGCUGA